GUUAAAAGCUAGGGCUAGGACUUGGAGGAUGUGUAGGCAAUCGGAAGGAGAGCCGGGGGAAGAAAAACCGAAAUGGAUUCAUUCUCUGUCCUGGAUGGAGAAGGAGAAGAGAGGAGAGGAGAGGAGAAGGGGACGAGCAAGCUUCCUCCGACGGGCGCUGUCCGGUGCAAAGUGAUCACCCCUGCGGGGCUGAGCGCAGCCCGGGAGCCCAGGCGGACUUUCGCUGGAUCCUGCCAAUCACACCGCUUUUCCUGGACAACACCCCGAGCUGGCAUGGACAU
rfam:Alligator sinensis unplaced genomic scaffold scaffold301_2, whole genome shotgun sequence